UAUGGCCAUAUCAUUUUAAAACAACAGUUUCCUUAUAAUCACUGAAGUUAAGCAACAUCAAGCUUGGUCAGUACCUAGAUGUGUGACCACUUGGGAAUACUGGAUGCUGAAA